CCUACGGGAGGCAGCAGUGGGGAAUAUUGCACAAUGGGGGAAACCCUGAUGCAGCGACGCCGCGUGAGUGAAGAAGUAUCUCGGUACGUAAAGCUCUAUCAGCAGGGAAGAAAAUGACGGUACCUGACUAAGAAGCCCCGGCUAACUACGUGCCAGCAGCCGCGGUAAUACGUAGGGGGCAAGCGUUAUCCGGAUUUACUGGUGGUAAAGGGAGCGGAGACGGCGGUGCAAGCAAGAUGUGAAAGCCCGGGGCUCAACCCCGGGACUGCAUUUGGAACUGGGCUGCUAGAGUGUCGGAGAGGCAGGCGGAAUUCCUAGUGUAGCGGUGAAAUGCGUAGAUAUGAGGAGGAACACCAGUGGCGAAGGCGGCCUGCUGGACGAUGACUGACGUUGAGGCGCGAAAGCGUGGGGAGCAAACAGGAUUAGAUACCCGAGUAGUC
rnacentral:rRNA from 1 species